UACGAAGGACCCGAGCGUUAUCCGGAUUUAUUGGGUUUAAAGGGUGCGUAGGCGGAUUAAUAAGUCAGUGGUGAAAGCCCGUCGCUUAACGGCGGAACUGCCAUUGAUACUGUUAGUCUUGAGUAUGGUUGAGGUGGGCGGAAUGUGUCAUGUAGCGGUGAAAUGCUUAGAUAUGACCCAGAACACCAAUUGCGAAGGCAGCUCGCUAAGCCAUAACUGACGCUGAUGCACGAAAGCGUGGGGAGCAAACAGG
rnacentral:rRNA from 1 species